UUUGUGACGGAGAAGGUUAGGUCUACCAGGCGUUGGUUGUCCUGGGGAAAGGAGGUAGGCAUGAUUCUUAGGCAAAUCCGGGAAUCUCUAUGCCGAGCACCGAGACGAGUCCUAUGAGGACGAAGUGACUGAGACCACGCUUCCAGGAAAAGCCACUAAGCUUCAGCUGUAGAAAAACCGUACCGCAAACCGACACUGGUAGGCAGGGUGAGAAUCCCAAGACGCUUGAGAGAACUCGGGUGAAGGAACUAGGCAAAAUGGCACCGUAACUUCGGGAGAAGGUGCGCCCUUUGGUGUGGUCACUGCGUGACUGAGCAUCGAAGGGUCGCAGUAACCUGGCCGCUGCGACUGUUUAUCAAAAACACAGCACUCUGCAAACACGAAAGUGGACGUAUAGGGUGUGACGCCUGCCCGGUGCUGGAAGGUUAAUUGAUGGGGUCAGCCGCAAGGCGAAGCUCUUGAUCGAAGCCCCAGUAAACGGCGGCCGUAACAAUAACGGUCCUAAGGUAGCGAAAUUCCUUGUCGGGUAAGUUCCGACCUGCACGAAUGGCGUAACGACAGCGGCGCUGUCUCCACCCGAGACUCAGUGAAAUUGAAAUCGCUGUGAAGAUGCAGCGUUCCCGCGGCAAGACGGAAAGACCCCGUGAACCUUUACUAUAGCUUUACAUUGAACGUUGAGUUCUUCUGUGUAGGAUAGGUGGGAGGCUAUGAAACCGAGACGCUAGUUUCGGUGGAGCCAUCCUUGAAAUACCACCCUGAAGUGCUUGACGUUCUAACCUAGGUCCGUAAUCCGGAUCGGGGACCAUGUAUGGUGGGUAGUUUGACUGGGGCGGUCUCCUCCCAAAGAGUAACGGAGGAGCACGAAGGUACGCUCAGCGCGGUCGGACAUCGCGCACUGUGUGCAAAGGCAUAAGCGUGCUUGACUGCGAGAUCGACGGAUCAAGCAGGUACGAAAGUAGGUCUUAGUGAUCCGGUGGUUCUGUAUGGAAGGGCCAUCGCUCAACGGAUAAAAGGUACUCCGGGGAUAACAGGCUGAUACCGCCCAAGAGUUCAUAUCGACGGCGGUGUUUGGCACCUCGAUGUCGGCUCAUCACAUCCUGGGGCUGUAGCCGGUCCCAAGGGUAUGGCUGUUCGCCAUUUAAAGUGGUACGUGAGCUGGGUUCAGAACGUCGUGAGACAGUUCGGUCCCUAUCUGUCGUGGGCGUUGGAGAUUUGAGGGGGGCUGCUCCUAGUACGAGAGGACCGGAGUGGACGUUCCGCUGGUGUUCGGGUUGUCAUGCCCAUGGCAUUGCCCGGUAGCUACGAACGGAAGUGAUAACCGCUGAAAGCAUCUAAGCGGGAAGCACGCCCCAAGAUGAGAUCUCCCGAGAGCUAGACUCUCCUUAAGGCACCAUCAAGACUAGGUGGUUGAUAGGCGCGGUGUGGAAGUGCAGCAAUGCAUUGAGCUUACGCGUACUAAUGAGCCGUGAGGCUUGAUC
rnacentral:rRNA from 1 species